ensembl:lncRNA
GCGUCGACCUCUAGACUGGAUGAGGCGUCGACUUCAGGUGAGGCGUCGACUUCAGAUGAGGCGUCGACUUCAGAGGAGGCGUCGACUUCAGAUGAGGCGUCAACUUCAGAUGAGGCGUCGACUUCAGAGGAGGCGUCGACUUCAGAUGAGGCGUCAACUUCAGAUGAGGCGUCAACUUCAGGUGAGGCAUCGACUUCAGAUGAGGCGUCGACUUCAGAGGAGGCGUCGACUUCAGAUGAGGCGUCAACUUCAGAUGAGGCGUCGACUUCAGAGGAGGCGUCGACCCUUGGACAGGAAGAGGCGUUGACCCUUGGACAGGUAGAGGCGUCGACCCUUGGACAGGUAGAGGCAUCGACUUCAGAACACGAGGAGGCUUCGACUUCAGAACAUGAGGAGGCGUCGACUUAUGAACACGAGGAGGCGUCAACUUCAGAACACGAGGAGGAGUCGACUUCAGAACACGAAGAGGCGUCGACUUCAGAACUGGAAGAGGUGUCGACCACAAGACAGGACAGGGCGUCGACCACCAUCGACUUCUGGUCCGGGGGCGUCGGCUUCUGGUCCGGGAGCGUCGACUUCUGGUCCUUCGACUUCUGGACCGUCGACCUCUGGACCGCCGACCUCUGGACUGGAACUGGAACCGUCUGCUUCUGGUCCGGGGGCGUUGGCUUCUGGUCCGGAGGCGUCGACUUCUGGUCCUUUGACUUCUGGACCGUCGACCUCUGGACCGCCGGCCUAUGGACCGGAACCGGAACCGUCUGCUUCUGGUCCGGGGUGUCGUCUUCUGGUCCUGGGGGGUCGGCUUCUGGUCCAGAGGCGUUGACUUCUGGCCCUUCGACUUCUGGACAGUCGACUUCUGGACCGCCGACUUUUGGACCGGAACCGGAACCGUCUGCUUCUGGGCCGGUACCGUCUGCUUCUGGGACGGUAUUGUCUGCUUCUGGGCCGGUACCGUCUGCUUCUGGGCCUGAACCGUCUGCUUCUGGGCCCGAACCGUCUGCUUCUGGGCCCGACCCAUCUGCUUCUGGGCCGGAUCCGUUGACAUCUGGAGUGGAGGUGGAGCCGCUGCGGGAGGGGCUGCCUGGACAGGCUGCGUGUGAACCGGCGGUGCUGGGAACAGGGAGAGCAGGGAGGACAAACCAUCCAGCUGAAGCUCUUUGA